rfam:Pedobacter kyungheensis strain KACC 16221 contig046, whole genome shotgun sequence.
UUUUUGCAUGAGGGAUAGCAGUGUAAAUCCUUUUGUUGCAAGCUUGAGCGCAGCCGAAAGCCAAACAAAAGAUUGGAACGGAUAGCCCGACCCUUG